CAGUCGCCGCGGUAAUACAGAGGUCCCGAGCGUUGUUCGGAUUCACUGGGCGUAAAGGGUGUGUAGGAGGCUAGGUAAGUCAGUUGUGAAAUCCCACCGCUCAACGGUGGAACUGCAAUCGAUACUGCUUGGCUAGAGGAUCGGAGGGGGAAGCGGAAUUCUUGGUGUAGCGGUGAAAUGCGUAGAUAUCAAGAGGAACACCAGUGGCGAAGGCGGCUCACUGGACGACUGUUGACACUGAGAGACGAAAGCUAGGGGAGCAAAUGGGAUUAGAUACCCCGGUAGUCCCUGUCUCUUAUAC
rnacentral:rRNA from 1 species